GUGUGGAGGCUAAGAAGUCCAAGGUUGAAGAGCUGCAUCUGAUGAGAGCCUUCUUGCUGGUUGGGAUCCUCUGCAGAGUCUUGAGUUGGGCAUUAAAAACUGUAUCACAGACACAUGAAUAUUAUAGGCCUCAUCUCCAAGUAUUACCACACUGAGGGUCAAGACUUCAACAUAUGGUGGAGAGCAGGAGGU